AAAGUACUCCCUCCGUCCCAAAAUUCUUGUCUUAGAUUUGUCUAGAUACGGAUGUAUCAAGUCACAUUUUAGUAUUAGAUACAUCCGUAUCUAGACAAAUCUAAGAUAAGAAAUUUGGGACAAAGGGAGUAGUUG
rnacentral:pre_miRNA from 1 species